GCCCUCGUGGUGAAAUUGGCAGACACGACAGAUUUAGGAUCUGUUGCCGCAAGGCAUGGAGGUUCAAGUCCUCCCGAGGGCA
rnacentral:tRNA from 1 species